UGGGCAGCUGCCAAAAUGAGCAACACUGGUGGAUGUAGAGGAGAGCUGGACAAGGAUGGAGCAUGCUUGAGGAGAUGAUAUUGAUACGCCAGGCAGCUUCAAUUCUUCUGGAACUAAUAUAUUGGUGGUUGCUUCAGUAUCUUCAGAGCUUACAAAAAGGAGUUGAAAUGGGAGAAAUUUGGAAAUGUGAACAGCCUGCCAGCUGGAUCUGAUCAUGCA
rnacentral:lncRNA from 1 species